rnacentral:tRNA from 1 species
GGUGGGGUUCCCGAGCCGGCCAAAGGGAGCAGACUGUAAAUCUGCCGUCAUCGACUUCGAAGGUUCGAAUCCUUCCCCCACCACCA